rnacentral:rRNA from 1 species
UACGUAGGGCCCGAGCGUUGUCCGGAUUCAUUGGGCGUAAAGCGCUCGUAGGCGGCUGUUCAAGUCGGACGUGAAAACUCGGGGCUCAACUCCGAGCCUGCGUUCGAUACUGGAUGGCUAGAGUCUGGUAGGGGGAUCUGGAAUUCCUGGUGUAGCGGUGGAAUGCGCAGAUAUCAGGAGGAACACCGGUGGCGAAGGCGGGUCUCUGGGCCGAUACUGACGCUGAGGAGCGAAAGCGUGGGGAGCGAACAGG